UACGGGGGGGGCAAGCGUUGUUCGGAAUUACUGGGCGUAAGGGUUCGUAGGUGGCCAACUAAGUCAGACGUGAAAUCCCUCAGCUUAACUGGGGAACUGCGUCUGAUACUGGUUGGCUUGAGUGCAGGAGAGGAAUGCGGAAUUCCAGGUGUAGCGGUGAAAUGCGUAGAUAUCUGGAGGAACACCGGUGGCGAAGGCGGCGUUCUGGACUGCAACUGACACUGAGGAACGAAAGCCAGGGGAGCAAACGGG
rnacentral:rRNA from 1 species